UAUCAAUAAGCGGAGGAAAAGAAACCAACAGGGAUUGCCCCAGUAACGGCGAGUGAAGCGGCAACAGCUCAAAUUUGAAAUCUGGCCCCCAGGGUCCGAGUUGUAAUUUGCAGAGGAUGAUUUUGGCGAGGUGCCUUCCGAGUUCCCUGGAACGGGACGCCACAGAGGGUGAGAGCCCCGUCUGGUUGGACGCCGAGCCUAUGUAAAUCUCCUUCGACGAGUCGAGUAGUUUGGGAAUGCUGCUCUAAAUGGGAGGUAUAUGUCUUCUAAAGCUAAAUAUUGGCCAGAGACCGAUAGCGCACAAGUAGAGUGAUCGAAAGAUGAAAAGCACUUUGAAAAGAGGGUUAAAUAGUACGUGAAAUUGUUGAAAGGGAAGCGCUCAUGACCAGACUUGGGCCCGGUGAAUCAUCCAGCGUUCUCGCUGGUGCACUUUGCCGGGCUCAGGCCAGCAUCAGUUUGCCCCGGGGGAUAAAGGCUUGGGGAAUGUGGCUCCUCCGGGAGUGUUAUAGCCCAUUGCAUAAUAUCCUGGGGCGGACUGAGGUUCGCGCAUCUGCAAGGAUGCUGGCGUAAUGGUCAUCAGCGACCCGUCUUGAAACACGGACCAAGGAGUCGUCUUCGUAUGCGAGUGUUCGGGUGUAAAACCCCUACGCGUAAUGAAAGUGAACGCAGGUGAGAGCUUCGGCGCAUCAUCGACCGAUCCUGAUGUUCUCGGAUGGAUUUGAGUAAGAGCAUACGGGGCCGGACCCGAAAGAAGGUGAACUAUGCCUGUAUAGGGUGAAGCCAGAGGAAACUCUGGUGGAGGCUCGCAGCGGUUCUGACGUGCAAAUCGAUCGUCAAAUAUGGGCAUGGGGGCGAAAGACUAAUCGAACCUUCUAGUA
rnacentral:rRNA from 1 species